rnacentral:lncRNA from 1 species
CCACAAAAAACAAUGCAUCAGCUUCAAAAAAGUGCAUGGACUAUGAAUAAAGUGAUGCUUCUAUAUGGGAGCCAUCAGAUCAUGGAGGAUCAUCUUUUGGGCUGACUAUGGUCAAAGUAUGGCUAUCUUUAACUUUGUUAAAAAUAUGAUCUUUAUUUAGCACCUUUUAGGUUGGAAAAGCAAGUAGCUUGUCACAUUGCCUUUCUCUUAGUACAUAUCUAACUUGGCCACCCAC